CGUGUUUCCAUUGCUGUUAAUUGCUAACUCGCUUUGUCUCCAGUCUACUUGACUUGUGUCUCUGUGCGUCCGUUUUCCACUGCAAGGCGAGCCGGGGCUGGUCAUCAUUUUGCCACGGCCAGUAGGAAAAUUAAUUUCUAAAUGAACCUGGAGGCAGCAAAAAAAAAACGCUCGAUAAACUUGUUACCGGUAAACACGGCGGGUUUGUUCAGGACACCCCCAGCUCGACUGAGUUUGUAAGAAAAGAGUAUUGGCAGGAGGUUGUGAAUGAAGCACCACCAGUCACUAACCUAGAAGAUCAAUGGCCUGCUCUUUUAAUGCAGCUCAGGAUGAGUCUUUGGAAAAAAGGAGAGGUGGCUUAAUGGUGUAUCUAAAAGAAAAGGAGGAGGAUCUCUUCAAAAAGUUGGAUGGUGGAGAGAUUGUCAGUGAAGUGAUGAAGAAUGAAGUCAUAUCCAGAGGUGCCACCAUGUCUGAUUAAACCAGCGCGAGGAUCUUCAUUGAUGGAACAGAAGUCCUGCAAAACCUGUACGUACCCAGAGCAUGUGCCUUGCUAAUGGGGCUCAUAUACGGACUCAACCUCAGCUACCCAAAAGAAGGGAAAGAUACUUUUGAGGUAUUUCAAAAGAUAUUCCUCAAACUGGAUGGGCUGAAAGCCAGUCUGAAGGUUAUGACUUUAAAAAGUAGACUGCUAUGCUAAAAAUUUGAAGAAUUAGACUGUCCUCCAAUUUAACAACAUGGUGCAUGGUGUUUUUUAUUGUAUUCUUUAACAUGCACAGUGAAUGAAGCACCGGAUUCAGGGGAUUGGGCCUCCAAAAUUUACAUAAUAAUUUGAACAUGUUCUUUUUAAGGACAACUUAGAAGCUCCCAAAUACACUUUUAAUUUUCAUUAAAGGGAAGCUUCGUUCUUUUUCAACCUGUCUCUGUCUGUCUAAGGGAAGAAUAUCUUUAAUUGGCCCAGUAUUAACAGAGAGUGCAUCAGCUGGCAGUUCCAAAAUGAGCUAAGACAUACUUUUUUAGGAGACUUGGUUUUACACAGCCAAAACAAGUGAAGGGAAAGGUUUUCCAUACUGUUGUCAGGAUUUACAGUGACCACCUGAGCCUGUUAGAGG